UACAUAUGUAGAGGAGCCGCUAUUAUAAGUAUUUUUUCUGAGUGGAUAACGAUGAGGAAAAAGGAAAGGAAUAGUUGCCGAAAUCAAUUAAAAGUCGUUUUAAUUGGUUGGGAGCGUUUUCGAAAGAAACGUUACUGUCAUAGUCUUUUUAACAACUAUGGAGCGCUACUGGUUAG
rfam:Avibacterium paragallinarum JF4211, WGS project CBMK01000000 data, contig: 58